UGUGUUGCAACAGGGAGACUUGGAAAACGUGCAGGACAGCGGCCCUCCAGGGCCUGGGUUUCACACCCCUGCAUUAAAAGGUAACAAAACAGCAAAAAACUGCAGGGGAGGCACGGCAGCAGAUUGCCAGGUCCCCUAAUCCCACUGGCUUGCGAAGGUCGGGCGAAGGCCACUGUUUUGGACAAGUUGGGAUGGACAAGACAAGACGACAAGGUGGGUGAAUAGUGUACGUAUUUCAUGUUCCAGAAGUAGGAGUGCUCGGAGCAGAGCCUUUGUCCAGCCAUCGACAUGCAUACUAUGAGCCAGGCCAGGUGUCAAAGGGCCUGGUGUGCUGUGACAGGAGGGUGGGUGGUUUGCUGGUGGUGCAGGGCGGGGCGCGAUUGUCAGGGAAGUGGUCAAGGUUGGCCUGUGUAUUUUACCUUCGGUUAUGUCCGAAUCUCUGCAAAUCUUGGAUACAACAUGUCAGUGCUCCCUCAGGCUUCCCACUACCAGAAAGGUCAGCAAUACCAAUAACCUUUUUACGGAGCAGUUUAUUCUUUUCAGAGGGAUAAAAUACCACCAUAGAAAAAAAAACACUAAAAAUAAACCCUUCCUUCACCAAACAAGAAGUAAAUAAAUGAGGAUUAAAAAUUGAAUUACCUCCUAUAAAGCAAACAGAGGAGGAAAGGUCUUCAAACACAAAGGGCAAUCAAACUUGCUAGCACUUGCUGGCAGUGGAGAGAAGCGUAGACAUGAGACUGUUCAAAUAGUUCCUUGACCAAUCACGUAGCAGCAAUCAGGUGAGGUUGAAUGAUAAACACCUGCUCAAAAUUUAUUCAACCCGAACAAACACGCAGAGACCAUAAGAGAGGGGACAAUACAUACAAGACGAUACAUUUAUGACCUGCCCAGUAGGUUCUAUUUAACCAAAAAAAACAAACCUCUUACUCAAAUAUUCAAACAUAUAUUUGAGGAGUUGUUAAGUCACAAUUAUACCUAAAAUUAUCGGCGUUAAAAUGAGCAUGUUUUGUUUUUAUUUUGGGAUGCAUUAUUUUAAAUAAAAAAUACUAGUGUAAUCAUUUGUGAUGAGAUAUGUAAAUGGCAAGGUGUGGAAAUGGCUAAGUUUUUGUACUUCUUACUUCCUUAGAACAUGUAGUACAUGUUAAACUAUGACAACCAUGGGUGAUAUUUUCUUUCUUCAAAUUUUAACUUUUUUUCUUAUCACGUGUUUAUAUGUUUAAUAAAUCAAAAUCAAUCAUUCACCCAGAAGGACACUCUCACCCACCAAAAACACCCGUUACCAGCACCCCAUAAAAAACAAAAAAACUUCUCUUACUCAAAAACAGUCAUGCACACACACCCAAAACAUUCUUAAUGUAGUAAGUUGGCAAUUUGAAAAAUGUCACAAUCAUUUUUCCAUCUGAAGUCGAACAAUGACGGGUUGAUAAAAAUCCUGUUGUCAAUGUGUUUAACAGAUAAGAAUGGGACAACAUCAAAGCAUUUAUCGGUAAAAGAAUCUGUAAGCAUUCGUUAGUUGUGCAGGUCUACUUGCGACUAUGGCCCAUAGUCCACAACUGGGAAAAGAGAAAAAAAUUACGGAAAUUUUCACAAAUAAGAAACAACACUCAACUAAAUUAAGUGAACUUUAAAUCCAUCCAUUUACCCUCACGUUUGUGCUGACUUGGGUCAUUAGGAUUGUUGCUUUAUGAGUUUUUGUGGAUCGAGUGAGAGGUUGUUUUUUUUGGGGGGGGGGGUGAGCAUGUCAAUUAUAUUUUUGUUGUGAAUUUGGAUUUUUUUUUCAUUGUGAUGUUAUUUUUGGUAAAUGGGUGAUUUUUUGGGGGGGUGGGGGGGGGGGGGUAUACAACCAUAAGGGCAGCACUGUGAUCGACUGGUGAGCAAGUCUGCCUCACACUUCAGAAGUCUAUGGUUCGAAUCCGGGUGCCAGACUUCCUGUGUGAAGUUUGCAUGUUUUCUCCAUGCGUGUGUGGGUUUUCUCCAUAUACUCUGCUUUCCUACCAAAUUCCCAAAACAUGUAUGGUAGGUUAAUGGAACACUCUCAAUUGUCCCUCGGUGUGAUUGUGGGUGUGAAUGGUUAUUUGUGUGCCCUUCGAUUGGCUGGCAACUAGUUUAGGGUGGACCCCGCCUACUGCUAGAAGACAGCUGGAAUAGGCUGCAGCAUGCCCACGACCCUCGUGAGGAUAAGUACCAGUCAAGUCAAGUCAAGUACAACUUUAUUGUCAUAAGCAGCUCGGAUAAUGGACGGAUGGCUAUUCACGGGGUUUCAUGUGUUGUUCAAGGGCACUUUGACGUACCUGGGGAUUUACUGUAUUCUCGCUUCAGCUGUGGGAGCAGCUGUAGCUCUGACAAAGAAGACAAAGCCCCUCAAAGAACUAGAAAAUAUCCAACAGUAUCUUGCAGGACAAAUGUAGUGCCUACAGCCCUACACCAACCAGAUUCUCCAACUUCUGCCUGCCGCCAAAGGUAAGCUAGCACGGAUCAGAGAAGCUCCGAAUUCAGGCAACUUAUGUAAUCAGCUGAAAACCCAAAUGGAAAAAAGGCUGACCCCCUUCACGGGAUAUGAGUGGCUGAACACCUUUAGCCAUUCUGGCCAGAGAGGAAGGCAAAGGGCCUUCUUCUGAAAGAGCGACACCAUUGGCUCACUGAGUUCGUCACAAACACUAAUGGGGAGGGGAAUAAGUGCAUCAAAAUUAAGCACUUCAACCUGCCCGGCCAAACCUCCGAGCCUUCGGUGGAAAAGAUAGAGAUAUUAAAAAAGAAACAGUGACACUCUUUCAUUGGAUCUAUCAGCUGUAGUACCUGGACAGAGCGUGUGGAUCAGAACAGUGCGGCCUCAGUCCAAGGACCUGCUUCAACACCAAGGACCAAAAUGUGGAAACGGGUCAAAGGAGCUUGACAAGAAACUGGGCUCAUCACACAAAGCUCCCUGAAACGGGACUUGCCUCGCUCCGGUAAGGCUCAGGUGAAAUGUUGUGGAGCGUUUCCUGUCCUCCAGAUCGACUGAACCUGUGAAUAAAAAACACUCUGCUCCUGAAAAGAAAAAAAAAACAUGUGCCUAACACUUCGAUGUUCCUCUCAGAUGCAGGUAUUAAACUCAAGGCCCAAGGUGCCAGAUGCGGCCCGCCAUAUCAUUGUAAAACAAUCAUGGGUGUCAACGUGCAUGAUCCUUGCUAAAAUCUGUACCAAAAUGUCAAAUUGUCACAUGUAAUAAAUAGCCUUGAGAUUUUGCAAUAAUUUUGUUACCCUCUUCACACUCACUUGAACAACAAUCAAACAAACUACUACAGUUGACUGUU